ACGGAAGGCAGCAGUGGGGGAUAUUGCACAAUGGGGGAAACCCUGAUGCAGCGACGCCGCGUGAGUGAAGAAGUAUUUCGGUAUGUAAAGCUCUAUCAGCAGGGAAGAAUAGAUGACGGUACCUGACUAAGAAGCCCCGGCUAACUACGCCCCAGCAGCCGCGGUAAUACGUAGGGCGCAAGCUUUAUCCGGAAUUACUGGGUGUAAAGGGAGUGUAGGCGGGACGGUAAGUCAGAUGUGAAAUAUGGCGGCUCAACUGGCAGACUGCAUUUGAAACUGCGGUUCUUGAGUGAAGUAGAGGUAAGCGGAAUUCCUAGUGUAGCGGUGAAAUGCGUAGAUAUUAGGAGGAACAUCAGUGGCGAAGGCGGCUUACUGGGCUUUAACUGACGCUGAGGCUCGAAAGUGUGGGGAGCAAACAGGAUUAGAUACCCUGGUA
rnacentral:rRNA from 1 species